GCCUGACGGAGCAACGCCGCGUGAGGGAUGAAGGCCUCUGGGCUGUAAACCUCUUUUAUCAAGGAAGAAGAUCUGACGGUACUUGAUGAAUAAGCCACGGCUAAUUCCGUGCCAGCAGCCGCGGUAAUACGGGAGUGGCAAGCGUUAUCCGGAAUUAUUGGGCGUAAAGCGUCCGCAGGCGGCCCUUCAAGUCUGCUGUUAAAAAGUGGAGCUUAACUCCAUCAUGGCAGUGGAAACUGUUGGGCUUGAGUGUGGUAGGGGCAGAGGGAAUUCCCGGUGUAGCGGUGAAAUGCGUAGAUAUCGGGAAGAACACCAGUGGCGAAGGCGCUCUGCUGGGCCAUCACUGACGCUCAUGGACGAAAGCCAGGGGAGCGAAAGGGAUUAGAUACCCCUGUAGUCCUGGCCGUAAACGAUGAACACUAGGUGUCGGGGGAAUCGACCCCCUCGGUGUCGUAGCCAACGCGUUAAGUG
rnacentral:rRNA from 1 species